GGAUGAACGCUGGCGGCGUGCCUAAUACAUGCAAGUAGAACGCUGAAGGAGGAGCUUGCUCUUCUGGAUGAGUUGCGAACGGGUGAGUAACGCGUAGGUAACCUGCCUGGUAGCGGGGGAUAACUAUUGGAAACGAUAGCUAAUACCGCAUGACAACAGUUAUUGCAUGAUAACUGUUUAAAAGGGGCAACUGCUCCACUACCAGAUGGACCUGCGUUGUAUUAGCUAGUUGGUGAGGUAACGGCUCACCAAGGCGACGAUACAUAGCCGACCUGAGAGGGUGAUCGGCCACACUGGGACUGAGACACGGCCCAGACUCCUACGGGAGGCAGCAGGAGGGAAUCUUCGGCAAUGGACGGAAGUCUGACCGAGCAACGCCGCGUGAGUGAAGAAGGUUUUCGGAUCGUAAAGCUCUGUUGUAAGAGAAGAACGAGUGUGAGAGUGGAAAGUUCACACUGUGACGGUAUCUUACCAGAAAGGGACGGCUAACUACGUG
rnacentral:rRNA from 1 species